CAGUAGCCGCGGUAAUACGUAGGGUGCGAGCGUUAAUCGGAAUUACUGGGCGUAAAGCGUGCGCAGGCGGUUCGUUAAGACAGAUGUGAAAUCCCCGGGCUUAACCUGGGAACUGCAUUUGUGACUGGCGAGCUAGAGUAUGGCAGAGGGGGGUAGAAUUCCACGUGUAGCAGUGAAAUGCGUAGAGAUGUGAAGGAAUACCGGUGGCGAAGGCAGCCCCCUGGGCCAAUACUGACGCUCAUGCACGAAAGCGUGGGGAGCAAACAGGAUUAGAUACCCCAGUAGUCCCUGUCUCUUAUAC
rnacentral:rRNA from 1 species